rnacentral:rRNA from 1 species
UACAGAGGUCUCAAGCGUUGUUCGGAUUCAUUGGGCGUAAAGGGUGCGUAGGCGGUGCGGUAAGUCGGGUGUGAAAUCUCGGAGCUUAACUCCGAAACUGCAUUCGAUACUGCCGUGCUUGAGGACUGGAGAGGAGACUGGAAUUUACGGUGUAGCGGUGAAAUGCGUAGAUAUCGUAAGGAAGACCAGUGGCGAAGGCGGGUCUCUGGACAGUUCCUGACACUGAGACACGAAGGCCAGGGGAGCAAACGGG